AAUCUACUCCCUUCGUCCUAAAAUUAUUGUCUUAGGUUUUUCUAUAAAUGGAUGUAUCUAAAUACUAAAACGUGACUAAAUACAUUCAUAUCUAGAUAAAUCUAAGACAAGAAUUCUGAGACGGAGGGAGUACAUU
rfam:Hordeum vulgare subsp. vulgare, WGS project CAJW01000000 data, contig: morex_contig_49064